rnacentral:lncRNA from 1 species
CAAAAUUGUCAAUUGACCCCUUAAGGGGUAAAUGUCCUUUAAUGACAAUUUUUCACAAUUUGUUCAUCAUAUUUGCUAACUUUAAAAAAUCUUCUCCUCUGAAACUACUGAAUGGAUUUGGAUGAAACUUAGCAUGAUAGUUCCUUAGAUUAUCCUGCACAAAGUGUGUGUUCUUCGAUUUUUGAUCCGUCAAAAAACAUGGCCGCCCUUACUUUAAAUAGAACAUAGGGGUCAAAUGCAGUUUUUGGCUUAUAUUUCAAAAACGAAAGCAUUUAGAGCAAAUCUGACAUGGGGUAAAAAUGUUCAUUAGGUCAAGAUCUAUCAACC